GGAAUCCACACUGAAGCAUGGUUUAUUGCUGGUGUCUUUCUGCUGUUGACAAUCCCUGUGUCCCUCUGGGGGACUGUGCAGCACUUAGUGCAUUACACGCAACCAGAACUUAAGAAACCUAUUAUAAGAAUUCUUUGGAUGGUCCCAAUAUACAGUUUGGAUAGCUGGGGCGAUCUGCUCUCGGUGUUGCGCGCCAGUCCCUGCAGCCUGCUUCUGCUGCCACGCUAGUCCCCGCCGCCUGCGGCUGCCGGUCCCCACCGGCUGCGGAGGCCGUCCUCCAUCCGCCCUCCGUCCGCCUGCGCCCUGCCUGCAUUCUUGUUUACCAUGGACUCCUCCAAUGCCCUACACGGACCAUUCUCCCUGCCCUCUUCACCCUCCUAGAACAUUUGCUCUGACCUGUUGUUUGCUGCGGUCUCAGAACUGACAGCAGGGCCUUCUCUGGUUCUGUGCUCCCUGUGCUGCGGGCCUGACACAAAGCAGGCGCUCAGACGCUUGACUGGGGGCACGGAGCUGUUAGCCCCUUAUCCAGAUAAGCCGUUCUAUUCACUAUUGUGGACACAGUCAGAACCGGAUCACUUUCAGUCCUUUUGAGAAAGUACAAGAGGCUCCCAUCGCCAGCUGCCCCAUAACACAUGUUCUUGGAGACAUUGCAGAUCUUCCCCAGAAGGCUUUCUGAAGCAGACAUUGAAUGAAGCCAUGUUUAUAAAGUGCUUGAUCGCGAUGCCUGGUGCUUAGAAACUCCUCACUAAUAGCAGUCGAAGCGGCAACAUGUUGGAAAUACAAGCACGAACUUAGCCUUGCAAGACUAUUUAACACACCCCCCUUCAGCCUCCACUCUGCCUCAGCAAGUCUUCAUGCUGCUUGGUAAAAUUCAGAUUCCCUAAGCAUCUUGUCCUGCGUGCAGCAACACCAUCUUGUGGUUACAUUAGGUUAUGACAAAAUACAUGAUCACUCCCAAGUAGUCGGCCCCCAUCAGACUGUAUGUGUGGAGGGAGCAGGUGAUGUUGGAAGCAAACCUGGCCUUGGGGGCUAUGUGACACAUCCUAAAUGACACGCAGGAGGUCUUAAGCUUCCCCUGUGUGACUUAAAGACAGAUGGUGGUUCUGGCCGUUUCUGCUGCCACUGUCCUCUUUCCUAAUUGGCUCUGCCCUAGUUCUGACUCCAGCUUGAGUUUUCUGGCGCCUCUAAAGCCGCAUUUGAAAUGAGUUAGCGCCAUCUACUGGGAGAACACAGGAAGACAGGUUGGGGAGUCCCAGCCCAGGUCUGAAGAAUGAAUCUUGUAAAGAGGGAAGGUCACGUGUGUUUCUUAUAUUUGGAUAAUACCUUAAAAAGUACUUUGUAAUGUUUGCUUUGACUAUUCUAGUUGUGACCUCCCGCAUUACUGAGUAUAAACUCAGGUUCACUUGUGCAACAAGUUGGCCGACUUCAUCACUCUCUGCUAAUUCACUUUAAAAAUGGUGUUUUAAAACUUCUGUUUCCAGGAACCUUUUUACUAACCAAGAAGCUAUCUUUUUCCUUUUUUUUUUAAACUGUGGACUACCUCCAUUAAUGAGUUGCAAAAGGCAAUUUUGUAAUCAAAUUCAUUUAAAAUAUUAUAUCGUAAAACAAAUAAAAUGAUUUGUUUUGAUAAUGUUUCAUUAACACUUUUUUAUUUCAAGUUGCAGCAUUAGUUGUUAAGUUAGAGAAUUAAUAGAAUAGGCAAUUUCCAGCUUACUAUUUAAAGAUACCUGGUUUUAGAAAAAAAUUAUUUUAAAAAUAAAAUAGCUGUGAAAUGGUUUUGGCCAAAAAUUUAGCAUUUUAAAGAGAUCCUCAAACAAUAACUCACUGCUUUUUGACUGCCUCAACCUCUGGGAACAGUCUCAAGAAUAUCUUUGUAAUAAGGCUUUAUGCACCUUAUUUUUCAAGACCCUUCUAGAAUUUGCCCUUUUGUUGCUUUGCUUUUUCAGACACAGAAAUAUACCUCAUCACCUCACUUCUUAGAACUGAUUAGAAAUAGUAAAUUAGAAAGCAAGGAGGCCACAAAAAGUGUCAAAGACAGACUGCAGGAAACCACAGAAAAUGGCUGAUUGCAAGAGGGCCAGUAUAGUAUAGAGUAUGAUUUGUAGAAAACAGGAAAGGGAGUCAGAGGACAGGAUGGAAAGCUUUUUAAUGAAGUAAUAAACAGACAUAUAUUUUGAGGCUCACUAAUAAUAAUUUAUAUUCCUAAUGAUUCUUAGCAAUUGAGAAAAAAGUAAUUUCCUUUCUUGAAAAAUGCUGACAUAUUAAUAGCAUUUUAGUAAAACAAAACAACAACAAAAGACCAAACACUUUAUCUUGGUGCCUCAGAGGCACACAGCCACAUUAAAGGGUUGUGUAGCUUCUUUGGUGCUUUCUUUUGAGGGAUUUUGUUUAUGUGGGGCUAAGAUUGAGGUGUCCACAGGUGUGUUAAGUGGCAGCUAUAGAUUGAUUCCGUUUCUGUUGAAGUAGACAGUGCCCUCAAGUGGAGGUAAAGACACAUUACAAAAGGAAGCAGAAAGAGUACCCACUCAAGCUGCCAUGGCCUUCAUCCAUCUUCACCAAAUAUCGCACAGAUGCUUUAAGUGAUGGUAGAUUGGAGGAGUGCUGACUUUAGCCUGUCUCGGGUGAUUUGUGUCUCUCAUUUGGGCUUACAGAGGGACAGACUUGUAAAAUGUUACCGUGAUGGGACACUCCAUCACCUAAAAGUGUUUUCUAAGAGAACUGUUACUGUGUGUUGAAUUGCCAGGUUGCUUAAUUAUUGAGUCAAAUAAUACAGUUUGAUGCUUUAGUUUUAAGUUUAUUUGAUUUGAAUUACAAGAAUAAAAUGCCUACAUAGUAUAAUGUUAUUAAUUUCUGCCUAUAAGCACAGGGCUGGAGAAGGAUAUCUCUGUCUCAAGAAGACAGGCUGACGGACAGACAGGCGGACGGACAGGCAGGCAGGCAGAGAAGCAAAAGGAAGAUGGUAUUGGUGGAAACAUGCAGGGCUGAGGAGCCCAGGCUGAGGCCCAGAGUUGGGGGUUGGAAGUUCAUCGCUCCUCUUUUCUUUGUUCAGUCUCCCCAACCCAGGGUUAGGAAGCUAUGGGGUGGGAUUGCCUAGACAGUGGGAGG